rfam:Lactobacillus kimchicus JCM 15530 Scaffold4, whole genome shotgun sequence.
CAGGUUGAUAUUGUUCUGCCCAAGACUCAGGUGGCGAAAGCCUUAAUGUUUGCCUGCCGAGGAAGAUGUGAAAGUUUUACAUUUCUCUCUAUGUCUUGGUGGGCGUAGGGAUUUUUUAUUCCCAUC